rnacentral:sRNA from 15 species
AUAUCUCUCCGUACGGGAAGGAUGAGAAGCUUUGACUAAGGUUCGAUUCGAGCGCAGCGAGAAAGCGUUGCCGCAGGCAACGACCCGAAGGGUGAGGAGCGGAGCGACGAAUAAUCCUUCCCCCACCACCA